UUUCUACUCCCUCCGUCCGAAAAUACUUGUCAUCAAAAUGGAUAAAAAUAGAUGUAUCUAAAACUAAAAUAUGUCUAGAUACAUUUCCUUUUAUCCAUUUUGAUGUCAAGUAUUUCUGGAUGGAGGGAGUAUUUG
rfam:Triticum aestivum genome assembly, contig: Triticum_aestivum_CS42_TGACv1_scaffold_411354_5BL